CGGAUAUGGGGAGGAGGUCCAACAGGGGGCGCCGCGUUGGAACGCCCAAAGGGGUUGGGGGUUCGGGUGCGGUGGGCGAGCAAGCGAGUGUAUGGCGGCCAGGCCCAGAAGGCCACGAGGACCGCUGGCGCCGAGGCGUCAGUCUUUCAGACUCCAAAAGUAGCAAAGGCCGAGCGAGGAGGUUAGGGGCUCCCAAAGGCCAGCCCUUGGGGCUGUUGAUGGCCAGGCUAACCCGACAGGAGGCGCCGCUGCCACCGAGUGACUGGCUACCAGAUUCUGAAACCCUAAGUGCCUUGGAUGAGUGGGGCUUAAGAGACCACAGAACUGGGUCAAGGAUUAAGCUCAGUGGCACCACACCUGCCUUGCAAGCUCAAGGUCCUGGGUUUGAUCCCUGGUACCAAAAAAAAAAAAAAAAAAUUAGAGGCCACAGAACUACAGCCAGACAUUUGAGGAAGCAGCAAAUACAAAAGACAGCUGAGUGGCCUGGCCAAAGACAGCUGAGAGAUUUGGUGUGGUGAGAGCCGAGGAUGAGCACCACGUGGAUGGACUGGAGGAUCAUCUUGGUCAGCCAGAUCAUCAGGAGGACUGGAGAAGGCACGCCAAGGUGCGCUACCGGAUUGUGGCUACCUGCUGCACACUGGUCAGCAAGGCAGUUUCCCCGCCGCCCGCCCCCGCCGGAUGAAGAUGGCAGGAGCGAGCCACCUCUCGGCUCCCCUUCCCAGCAUCCAAGCCCCGGCGGGCCAGAUGCGACACCUUUUCCCCGGCCAGGGCCACGCUCCUUCAGACUCGAGGUACUGUGCCCUCGCAACAGACGCGACCCGCACUCCACCCUACUCCCCUUUCCGCCCAAGACCACCGCGCAGACCCUGCGGUCGCUUUUCUCCUUCAUCCUAGCGCUGCGCGCCAGCAGCCCAGGAACUUCCAGCCGAGCCGCAGGCAGCCCCGCCGCCUUAGCAGCUGCGCGGAAAGGAUGGCGAUGCCCCGACGUGAUCGAGUCCGCGCUGCCAACCCGAGUAGCCCCCAAGGGUACCUCCAAAAGUUUCUGUACCUCUACCCGCAGCCCUCUUAAGGACCGGCGAUUGGACCAGGAGAGGUUGGCGCUGUGGGGCACUGACAGGUGCGCGCGCUCUUUUCCGUGCUGGGGACCCACGAGUGCCUGAAAGGUGGUCAGUCGUGGCUAAGAUUGGUGCACAGCGGCGGAGGGCACUGGCUCUAAAUUAGCAGCGCGAGAGGAGCUGGGUUCCCGGCUCCGAGCCCGCCCGGCCCGGCCCGGGCGCGCGCCUGCUACUUCCCUCCGGAACCGGCAGUCUCUGGAGUUCUCGCCCAAUCCCUUUCUGGUUACUUUUCGCACAUUACAACAGUGUCUACUGCUCGGCGGCUCUGGAACAGAGAAAGCUGGCGCGCGCACCUCCAAGCCACAUUUCGGGCACUCGCCCAAACCAACUUAUUUGAGACGAAGGUUUGGAGGAGGAGGGAAAAACAUGCAUAAAACAAGUGACUUACCAUUGCCGCUUUGGUGUGCAGCUCACAACCCUAGUGUGCACAGGAUUCAGUUCCUUGACCAGGGCACCGGCUCGGGGACCUCAGGUUGUCCGUGGUGAGGCGCAAGGAGCGCCCCACUGUCCAACAAACCUUUGGCCAUCCGGGGCACCCUGGGAAGACUUGGGAAGCCUGGCCUGGCCUGCCCACCCUGACCGUUCUGGGCCCACUAGCUGAGCCCCCCCCCCCUUCACCUUGCCUCUUACCUAUCUCCCCCCCACACCACCACAGCGCUCACACUCCUUAGGGCCCUCCUCAGUUGACCAGUGGGCAGCUGCUCAACUAACCUGCGUCCAUGAAAAGAAGGAGAAUCCGUACGGCGUCCUCCGUUAGUAACGCUCGGAUGGGGAUGGGUCCUCUUUUCGAAGCAGACUCCGGGGACCUGUCGCGGCGGGUGGGCUUUUUGGCUUGCACGGCGCUGCUUCUUGGGCUCCUCAGACUCUUCAGGUUCCGUCGGAUCCUUCUCCUUGGGCUCGGGCUUCUCCUCCUGGCUGGAGCUGUAGGGCUCCUGAGUGGUGGGCUGAGGGCGACUCGGGGAGGCUUCGGGGCUCUGUAACCAGAGCGUGCAGGCGCUGGGUGAGCGAUUGGUUGAAGGUAGAGCCCUUGGGCACCACGGGGCCGCGCUCGUCCUUGGGCUCGGAGUCGGGCUCAGUGGCAGGGGCGGUCUCGGCCUCGGCCUCCGUCUCCAUCUGGGUCUCGUAAUCGAACUCUUCGCACUCUAGGCACUCGGGAAGGGGAGAGCUCAAGGUCCCCAUCCUCAUGGUCGUGGUCAGAGUCAGAUUCAGGGGACUCGGGGAAUACCUGGGCGCUGGAGCGGUGGUGGGCGUUCAGGAAGCUCCGGCGCUGCCCCCGCCGUGCGCUGUUGGGCACGGGGCGUUGGAGGUGGCAAGGGCGCGGAGGAGCGCGAUGGAGCAGGAGAGUCAGAGGAGCGCGGCGGCCGAUAGGUGGGCACAGAUCGCUGUAAUUAUGGCCGGCUCGGCGCCACUGCUGAGCCCGGGACCUCCGAUCCAUCCUCAGGCUCGCACCGAGAAGCCGACCCGCCCUCUGGCCCUGCAGAGAGCGGCUCCAAGGCGCAUCGGCUGCUGGAGCCGGAAAAGGCGCACCUUCGGAGGAUCAACAGGAGUUCCAUGGUUCUGUUCCUUUUCUCUGGCCAACCCGAGGAUUUCAGAAAAGGCUUCUCUGAGCUUGGCUUCUUACUCUACUUGCCUAGCUGAUGGUCCUGAAGAAGUAGACUUGGGCAGGUGAUCUGUCUAAGAUCAAGCACAAAGGCCUUGGAAAUAAGGACACCAAACCUAUUUCAUUAACAGCCUUCUCACCAUCCUAAAGAUUGCCCAUAACUGUGAAUGUCGCUGAUGGCUGCUCUGGCCACUAGAAGAAAGGCAUCGAGUUGAAGAGUUCUCUUGGGAGGAUGUGUGUGGUUUUGUUUGUCUUACUAAGCCCUCCCCCCACAUUUCUCUUUCUUCCUUUCCCAAGCUUUUCUUCUUUUAGGAACCUUUGGCACCUCCAUUGUGUCAUCUUGAAAGUCGUGGUGUCACUCUGUGUGCCCUCACUAAGCCUCCUGCAGGAGUGCUUUCCCUGAUUCAAAUUGGCGCUGCUUCAGCUUCUCCUGGGCAGGAGCAUAACCUUUGCCCCUCUACGGAAAGCUUCUCACAGCAAGGAAGUUUGGGCACCCAGUCCUUGUGGAGGUAAGGACUGAUUUUCACCUCCAGCAGAACGAGGUCCUUCAGGCUUCUGAAUCACACAGUCUCCAAGUGUCAAUCGGGAUCAAGGUGCAUCUCAAUGGAACACAGGCCCAGCAAGGUGGCCUCUCAGCAGCCGCUUGUCAGAGCUUGCUUUAGAUUCGCCACUGGGCUUCUUAGAGAUGGUUUAAUUAAUUUAUGGUGGUGAACCUUCCACCCAAAGCCACCUGACAGGAGAGGAUUUACUGUACCAGGUUACUGCCAUGCCACGUCAGACAAUAACGGGAAACUGUCCAUCAGCUGCUGUGACAGGAAUGAACAGGCAGCAAUCAUAGAGCGACACUCUGUACUGCUGCAUAAUAAAUGAGCCCGCUGGCCACAGGUAGCCACAGACCCGUCCACCUACUCUCUAUCCAGGGCCACAGGGACGUUCAGGACUGCACACUGUCGUCAGAGGCUUCCUCCUGCAGCCUUUCCUGAGCCCUUCAUCUCCUAACCACCUUAAGAGUACCCCAGAGUGACCUGAGGCAGAGGGCCAGACUGUAGCUAACAGUUCUCGCCAACCAGUGCCUCAGCCCACGCUCCAGAUCAGCUCUGUGGACCUGACUCGAAGAGGCCGAUUGGCAUUGAAGGAUCCAAGAAGAUGCUCAGGCUUCUGAGCUCCCAGCACUUCACUUGGUGAAGCCCACAAAUCCAGCAUGCGGCCCAUUCUCACUUUACUUCUUCAGCUUCUAAUGUAGUCACUGCUUGGGCAUUACACAGGAAGAUGGACAACCUCCGCCUCCACCCAGACAACGCUGGCCCCUGCACCUCUUCUCGUUCCAGUGGGCAUUUCCUUCAAGCGAUUGCCAUAGCUUGCUUUCAUAGCGUGACAUUACCUCCCCGUCUUCUCGGCUCCCCGCUGCAUUUCAGCCCCCACAGGACAGCUGUGCCUUUCUCACCCGCUCAACAGAGUAGACAUUCAGGCCUACAGCUCUCGCUGCUCCCAGCCCGACUGCAGACCUGGUCUCCCUUUCUCAGCCAUACCGCCUGUCCCACAGCAGAGCUCCAGCUAAGUGCCAGCCAUGCGUGGGUCUGGGAGAUGUCAGCCCAUGAAGAGGCAAGACUCCCUUCCCAUUGGAGUUUACUUCUAGUGUUGAAGAUUGGAAUCAAGACACGUUGCAAGAAGACACUCUGGGUAAGAGGAGCAGGAUAGGCAGGCAAGCUACCAUCUGAAUAGGGCUCCCCAGUACUUCUUCCGGCUGCACCAGUCUGCCCCAGAGCCUUGGGUCAUGGUUAGGACAUGGGGCCAUCCUGGGCACUGUAGGAUCUGGAGUAGCUCCACUGGCCUCUAUUGACUGGAUAGUAGGAGCCACCUUGAC
rnacentral:lncRNA from 1 species